CUAGCAGUCGAGCGGACAGAUGGGAGCUUGCUCCCUGAUGUUAGCGGCGGACGGGUGAGUAACACGUGGGUAACCUGCCUGUAAGACUGGGAUAACUCCGGGAAACCGGGGCUAAUACCGGAUGGUUGUUUGAACCGCAUGGUUCAAACAUAAAAGGUGGCUUCGGCUACCACUUACAGAUGGACCCGCGGCGCAUUAGCUAGUUGGUGAGGUAACGGCUCACCAAGGCGACGAUGCGUAGCCGACCUGAGAGGGUGAUCGGCCACACUGGGACUGAGACACGGCCCAGACUCCUACGGGAGGCAGCAGUAGGGAAUCUUCCGCAAUGGACGAAAGUCUGACGGAGCAACGCCGCGUGAGUGAUGAAGGUUUUCGGAUCGUAAAGCUCUGUUGUUAGGGAAGAACAAGUACCGUUCGAAUAGGGCGGUACCUUGACGGUACCUAACCAGAAAGCCACGGCUAACUACGUGCCAGCAGCCGCGGUAAUACGUAGGUGGCAAGCGUUGUCCGGAAUUAUUGGGCGUAAAGGGCUCGCAGGCGGUUUCUUAAGUCUGAUGUGAAAGCCCCCGGCUCAACCGGGGAGGGUCAUUGGAAACUGGGGAACUUGAGUGCAGAAGAGGAGAGUGGAAUUCCACGUGUAGCGGUGAAAUGCGUAGAGAUGUGGAGGAACACCAGUGGCGAAGGCGACUCUCUGGUCUGUAACUGACGCUGAGGAGCGAAAGCGUGGGGAGCGAACAGGAUUAGAUACCCUGGUAGUCCACGCCGUAAACGAUGAGUGCUAAGUGUUAGGGGGUUUCCGCCCCUUAGUGCUGCAGCUAACGCAUUAAGCACUCCGCCUGGGGAGUACGGUCGCAAGACUGAAACUCAAAGGAAUUGACGGGGGCCCGCACAAGCGGUGGAGCAUGUGGUUU
rnacentral:rRNA from 1 species